rnacentral:rRNA from 1 species
UACAGAGGUCUCAAGCGUUGUUCGGAUUCAUUGGGCGUAAAGGGUGCGUAGGCGGCGCGGUAAGUCGGGUGUGAAAUCUCGGAGCUUAACUCCGAAACUGCAUUCGAUACUGCCGUGCUUGAGGACUGGAGAGGAGACUGGAAUUUACGGUGUAGCGGUGAAAUGCGUAGAUAUCGUAAGGAAGACCAGUGGCGAAGGCGGGUCUCUGGACGAGU